rnacentral:rRNA from 1 species
GACGAACGCUGGCGGCGUGCUUAACACAUGCAAGUCGAACGGUGAAGCGCUUUCCUUUUUGGUUGGUGUGGAUGAGUGGCGAACGGGUGAGUAACACGUGAGUAACCUGCCCCCUUCUUCUGGAUAACCGCAUGAAAGUGUGGCUAAUACGGGAUAUUCUGCGCCUGCUGCAUGGUGGGUGGGGGAAAGAUUGUGCCUUUGGGUGUUUUCGGUGGGGGAUGGGCUCGCGGCCUAUCAGCUUGUUGGUGGGGUGAUGGCCUACCAAGGCGGUGACGGGUAGCCGGCCUGAGAGGGUGGACGGUCACACUGGGACUGAGACACAGCCCAGACUCCUACGGGAGGCAGCAGUGGGGAAUAUUGCACAAUGGGCGCAAGCCUGAUGCAGCGACGCCGCGUGAGGGAUGGAGGCCUUCGGGUUGUGAACCUCUUUCGCCAGUGAAGCAGGCCUGCUCCUUGUGGGUGGGUUGACGGUAGCUGGAUAAGAAGCGCCGGCUAACUACGUG